rnacentral:rRNA from 1 species
GACGAACGCUGGCGGCGUGCUUAACACAUGCAAGUCGAACGGAAAGGCCCUGCUUUUGUGGGGUGCUCGAGUGGCGCACGGGUGAGUAACACGUGAGUAACCUGCCCUUGACUUUCGGAUAACUUCAGGAAACUGGGGCUAAUACCGGAUAGGAGCUCCUGCUGCAUGGUGGGGGUUGGAAAGUUUCGGCGGUUGUGGAUGGACUCGCGGCUUAUCAGCUUGUUGGUGUGGUAGUGGCUUACCAAGGCUUUGACGGGUAGCCGGCCUGAGAGGGUGAACGGCGACAAGGGGACUAAGAUAGGGCGCAGACUGCUACGGGAGGCAGCAGGGGAGAAUAUUGCACAAUGGGCGGAAGCCUGAUGCAGCAACGCCGCGUGCGGGAUGACGGCCUUCGGGUUGUAAACCGCUUUCGCCUGAGACGAAGCGUGAGUGACGGUAAUGGGUAAAGAAGCACCGGCUAACUACGUG